CCAAUAGCGUAUAUUAAAGUUGUUGCAGUUAAAAAGCUCGUAGUUGAAUUUCGGGAUUGACGUAAUGGUCAUGCCUUAAGGGGUAUGAACUGUUACUGUUGAUUUCUCACCUUCUGGAGAAACUUGAUGUCCUUUAUUGGGUGUCUUGCGGAUCCAGGACCUUUACCUUGAAAAAAUUAGAGUGUUUAAAGCAGGCAUUUUUGCUCGAAUACAUUAGCAUGGAAUAAUAGAAUAGGACGGCAUGGUUCUAUUUUGUUGGUUUCUAGGAUCACCGUAAUGAUUAAUAGGGAUAGUUGGGGGCAUUAGUAUUCAAUUGUCAGAGGUGAAAUUCUUGGAUUUAUUGAAGACUAACUACUGCGAAAGCAUUUGCCAAGGAUGUUUUCAUUAAUCAAGAACGAAAGUUAGGGGAUCGAAGACGAUCAGAUACCGUCGUAGUCUUAACCAUAAACUAUGCCGACUAGGAAUCAGACGAUGUUAAUUUUUUAAUGACUCGUUUGGCACCUUACG
rnacentral:rRNA from 1 species